CCUACGGGUGGCAGCAGUAGGGAAUAUUGGGCAAUGGACGGAAGUCUGACCCAGCCAUGCCGCGUGCAGGAAGAAGGCCUCUGGGUUGUAAACUGCUUUUAUCAGGGAAGCGGUACCUGAGGAAUAAGCACCGGCUAACUCCGUGCCAGCAGCCGCGGUAAUACGGAGGGUGCAAGCGUUGUCCGGAUUUAUUGGGUUUAAAGGGUGCGUAGGCGGCCCUGUAAGUCAGUGGUGAAAGCCUCCAGCUCAACUGGAGAACUGCCAUUGAUACUGCAGGGCUUGAGUACAGACGAGGUUGGCGGAAUUGAUAGUGUAGCGGUGAAAUGCAUAGAUACUAUCAAGAACUCCGAUUGCGUAGGCAGCUAACUAGGCUGUACUGACGCUGAGGCACGAAAGCGUGGGGAGCGAACAGGAUUAGAUACCCCUGUAGUC
rnacentral:rRNA from 1 species